rnacentral:rRNA from 1 species
UACGUAGGGUGCGAGCGUUAAUCGGAAUUACUGGGCGUAAAGCGUGCGCAGGCGGUUUUGUAAGCCAGAUGUGAAAUCCCCGGGCUUAACCUGGGAAUGGCAUUUUGGGGACUGCAAGGCUUGAGUGCGGCAGAGGAGACUGGAAUUCCUGGUGUAGCAGUGAAAUGCGUAGAUAUCAGGAGGAACACCGAUGGCGAAGGCAGGUCUCUGGGCUGACACUG